UAUAUAAUGAUAGUGAGUUUCUAAUCAUAUAUUUGAUUGAUUUAUGAGUACUGUCUGAAUGAAAGUGAAUAUGUGUGGAUAAAAGAGAGAGCAACAGAAAUGGUGUUUAUCCCACUCAAGGGAGAAGGUAACCCUACUCAUUGUAAUGUAAAUCAUGCCACUUGACUCAAUGACACAGCUUAUGAUGUCCGUGGUUCAAUCCUGGUGUUGGUCAAGAAAAUUCCUUGGGAUUUUUCACCAUGGUUUCCCUUGAGAAGGAACAGCUUCUGUCAUUUGAGUGGCACCAAAAAACAAAACCUGUGUACACAUUGGCAGGCACUUAAAAGAAGAAUUGCUGUAUAGAAUGAAGACAAAGUUGCAUAUACUCUAUUUAUUUGUUGGUCACAGAUUAAUAUACCAUUGUUUUAGAUGUCUGUAAAAGUAGGAAUUAUUUCUUUUUUGUUAAAACAACUAUUCCGAUGACAAUUCCUGAGUAUAUUUCAUUUCCAGAAUCAUUAAAAAUACACACAGUAA